CGGAACGGGUGAGUAACACGUGGGCAACCUGCCAAAANAGGGGGAUAACACUUGGAAACAGGUGCUAAUACCGCAUAACCAUAGUUACCGCAUGGUAACUAUGUAAAAGGUGGCUAUGCUACCGCUUUUGGAUGGGCCCGCGACGCAUUAGCUAGUUGGUGGGGUAAAGGCUUGCCAAGGCAAUGAUGCGUAGCCGAACUGAGAGGUUGAUCGGCCACAUUGGGACUGAGACACGGCCCAAACUCCUACGGAAGGCAGCAG
rnacentral:rRNA from 1 species